GAUGAACGCUAGCGGCAGGCUUAACACAUGCAAGUCGAGGGGCAGCACGGGUAGCAAUACCUGGUGGCGACCGGCGCACGGGUGAGUAACGCGUAUGCAACCUACCUAUCAGAGGGGGAUAACCCGGCGAAAGUCGGACUAAUACCGCAUAAAACAGGGGCACCGCAUGGUGAUAUUUGUUAAAAAUUUAUUGCUGAUAGAUGGGCAUGCGUUCCAUUAGGUAGUUGGUGAGGUAACGGCUCACCAAGCCUACGAUGGAUAGGGGAACUGAGAGGUUGGUCCCCCACACUGGUACUGAGACACGGACCAGACUCCUACGGGAGGCAGCAGUGAGGAAUAUUGGUCAAUGGGCGAGAGCCUGAACCAGCCAAGUCGCGUGAAGGAAGAAGGAUCUAUGGUUCGUAAACUUCUUUUGCAGGGGAAUAAAGUGCAGGACGUGUCCUGUUUUGUAUGUACCCUGAGAAUAAGGAUCGGCUAACUCCGUGCCAGCAGCCGCGGUAAA
rnacentral:rRNA from 1 species